UCUGGGCUUCUUAGAAGGGUGGUCGCCAGUUUGGAGGUGUGGUGUAGGCGUAUUUGCUACAAGGUUAGCAGAGCCUGUCGGCUACUGAGAGUGGUAAAGCGAGGGGGGAGAGGAAUUAAGAGCCCGCCCUAAAGACCUCUUGGGACCCUGGUGUGACCGAAUCCCGAUGCACACUUGGACUUCGUGGCUCUUUGCUCUCUCUACUCCAGAGCCUCUACUCUCUCCCUAAGACUUCUGACUGAUACCGGGCAGAAGAAAGGGAAGUCUUGAGAUGCCACUGUAGGGGAAGUGGUGCCUGAUUUGAGUCUUCGAAGACCAGGAGGUGCAUGCGAUGGAGCAACGGAGGAAGAGCUCUCUCAGGCUCUUUCUCUAAGCGAAAGCCCAGAAGUUAAAGAACCGCGACUUGACGCAAAGGAGGACAUCAAGACUCAGGGAAGUCCAUACGUUGUCUGAAAUCACACUACUGCUAAAUGUUGAGAAUGCAGACAUGUAGGAUUCCAGCCAGGCCUCCCUCAGCCUGAGACACUGCGAUGACCUGUUCUGGGGCAGGUCAGGGGUCCUCACUGUCUGCAGAGCAGGCAGGGACUCAGGUGGUCGAGCCUCCCUGCUACAAAUGAGCCUGUGUGAUCGAUGCUUUUGGUGACCGUCCUCUGGCAACGGUGCAAGACCCACUCGGGCACGCUCGGCUAUUGUAUGGAAAACAAAACAAAACACCACAUUUGCCUUGUUACACACACAGAACCAAUAAUGCUUUCUGAGAUUCACUUGCCUUGCUUGCUGCUCAAGCCAAGGAUGUAAGGCGGUGAUGCAAGGGAUGGAGAGCGGCCCUUCCUGGCAGAGCCAUCCCCCCACCAGAACCCUGUCUGCUGAGGACCCAGGAUCCAUUUUAAAGGAAGACUGAGCGAGAGAAAGGAACCGACUCACCCGCAAAGCUAGAAGACAGCUGAGCUGCCAUGAAAACUUGGCCUCCUCGGCAGAACUCUUGCUGCCAGAGAUGUGCCUUAGUUAAGCGCCUCAGUGAAGAAAAGGGCAGUCUGUUUAAUAGCUCCUCAUUGACACCCUGUCACUGCUGAACUGGCACGGAACCCGGAGCUGGCAGGGCCGUGCGUGCCGCGCUCUACCUUGUUUCCUGCACGACAGUUCUUAAAAUCGCAGGGCUGUGUUCGCCCACGUCUUCCCUCCACGGAUUAAUAACCGCCAAGCCCGCCACCAUCCACCUCUGCAGGGGCUGAACAGGUCCCCUGGCACCCUCAAAGACGGGCAUCCUUCACGUUCCCCCAACUCCGGGAUGUCAGGGACAUGGGCUCCAUUUCUAAAA